rnacentral:rRNA from 1 species
CCUACGGGAGGCAGCAGUAAGGAAUAUUGGUCAAUGGACGCAAGUCUGAACCAGCCAUGCCGCGUGAAGGAUGAAGGUCCUCUGGAUUGUAAACUUCUUUUAUAGGGGACGAAAAAAGAGAAUUCUUUCUCACUUGACGGUACCCUAGGAAUAAGCACCGGCUAACUCCGUGCCAGCAGCCGCGGUAAUACGGAGGGUGCAAGCGUUAUCCGGAUUUACUGGGUUUAAAGGGUGCGUAGGUGGGUCUGUAAGUCAGUGGUGAAAUCUCCGGGCUUAACCCGGAAACUGCCAUUGAUACUAUAGAUCUUGAAUACUCUGGAGGUAAGCGGAAUAUGUCAUGUAGCGGUGAAAUGCUUAGAUAUGACAUAGAACACCAAUUGCGAAGGCAGCUUACUACGGGGUUAUUGACACUGAGGCACGAAAGCGUGGGGAUCAAACAGGAUUAGAUACCCUGGUAGUCCACGCCCUAAACGAUGGAUACUCGACAUCAGCGAUACACUGUUGGUGUCUGAGCGAAAGCAUUAAGUAUCCCACCUGGGAAGUACGAUCGCAAGAUUGAAACUCAAAGGAAUUGACGG